rnacentral:rRNA from 1 species
UUAAUUUUUAUUUAAAUAAUUUUAUUUAUUUUAGGUUAAGUAUUUUAGAACAACUUAUUUUUAUUAUAGUAAAUUUUUAAUGUAAGUGAUUUAUUUUAAAGUUAAUUAAGAAUUUUUUUUUUAUUUUACCUUUUGUAUCAGGGUUGAUUAAGUAUUAAGUUUUUAUAAGUUUUUCCCGAAUUGUGAUGAUUUAUAUUAUAAUGAUUUUUAUUGUUUCAUAAAUAUUUAAAAUUUUAAUAUGGAAGUGAUAUUCUAUACGUUUUGCAAGAUAUCUGGUUUUCUAAGAUUAAAUUAAAUUUGCAGGAAUUUGUUAAACUUAUUUAUUUUAUAUUGUUUUAUUAAUUUUCGGUUAUUUUUUAGGGGUUAAGCUCUAGAUAUUAAUUAUAAUUUAUUAGUAGUUUAUUUUUAUGUAGGCUUGGAAUUAGCCAUUGUUAUAAGUUUGUAUUAUUUUAUUAUUUGGAUUAAUUAUUUUUAAUUUAUUUAAUUUUUUUAUUAGAAUUGAAAUUAAAAUUUUAUUUGUUUGGUGAUAAUGGUUAAAUUAGUAUAUGAUUUAUGUAUUUUUAAUAAUAUUUGAGAUUUUAUUAAAAGGAAUUCGGCAAUAAUAUUUCCGCUUGUUUAUCAAAAACAUCUCUUGUAGAGUUUUAUUAUAGGUAGGGCCUGCACACUGAGAAUUUAAAGAGCCGCAGUAUUUUGACUGUGCAAAGGUAGCAUAAUCAUUAGCAUAUUAAUUGUAUGCUGGGAUGAAAGGUUUGACGAGAAAUAUUCUGUCUCUUUUUAAAAUAUAGAAUUUUACUUUUUAGUAAAAAGGCUGAGAUAAAUUUUUUGGACGAUAAGACCCUAUAGAGUUUAAUUUGUUAGGUUAUUAUGGUUUGGGUUAGAAUUUAUUGUGAUAAUUAAAUUGAAUUUAGUUGGGGCGAUUUGAAUAAUAAUUAAACUAUUCAUUUGUUUUUUCAUUGAUUUAUGUAUUUAUGAUCUUUUAUUAUUGAUUUUUAGAUAAAAUUACCUUAGGGAUAACAGCGCAAUCAUCUCUGAGAGUUCUUAUUGACGGGAUGGGUUGUGACCUCGAUGUUGGAUUAAGGUUAUUAAUCAGGUGAAGGAGCUUGAUUUAAUUGGUCUGUUCGACCAUUGAAAUCUUACAUGAUCUGAGUUCAGACCGGCGUGAGCCAGGUUGGUUUCUAUCCAAAAAUGAUUUAAAUUUACUAGUACGAAAGGACCGUUAAUUUUAAUUAUUUUAUUUUAUUUGAUUAAUAUUA